rnacentral:other from 2 species
GUCCUGCUGCGGCUCGCGUCGAAGGCGACAUAUCCCAGCGACCUUAAUUCACUCGAAGGGAGCUGUCCCUGCCCGGGGCCGUGGUCUCGGGUAUACGGCGCCCACCUGGUACGCCAGGUCGAGGGGAUUUACGGACCUUCACGGCUCACGCGGCGCCGCC